CUCGCAUAUAACUCGAAAAAUCAAUUUCUCAAUUUCCGGACUUGUUUUAAACGUAGGUGUCACCCCUCAGAAGGAGUGACAAUACAUAUUUAUGUACCCCAAGUAAAAGAAACCAACGACACAAGUGCAACUUUGAAGUGAAGGGUAAGUAGAACCUUAAAAUAAAUUUUCAUGCAAUUCGGAGUUGACCCUGAAUAUUACACUGCAAAACACAAGAAUCUACAGGUCGAGCAAGUCUCGUAAAUUUCACGAUUGCGAGCCACGCUUCACGCAACCGUGUUUGCGUACUUGUGUUUCGAGUUGCGUGGUCGUGGGGAGUUAUAUUUACCAAAUUUAAAUCCGUUCCAACAUGCUGUCAAAAUUAAAUCAAUAUUGUCAAUAUGGCUACUGGGUGUAAAAGAUAAAUCUUAUUCUAUCUGUUCUUAAUGAGUUUUAGAUCAUUUUAGUUGUAUUUCUUUGUAAUUUUGUGUUGUACAAAGAUUAAUUUAACAUUUUCUCUGGAAGUAUUAAUCUAGAAAGAUAAUAUGCUUCAUUGGUGUUGUGUUUUGAAGUGUGAAAUGCAAAGUAAUUGUGAUAAAGUUCACUUUUAAACUGAACUAAAUAAGGUAUCUGAGAGACAACAAUGGUUAAAUGCAAUACAAUGUACAGGUUUUACUAGCGAAAUGAAAAUUUUCCUGUCCUGUCUGCUGUAAUCAUUUUAUAUCUGGAAAACCAGCCGACUUAAUCGAUAAUAACAAUCUCCAGAUUGGGUUCCUUCAAUAAAUAUGGGCUAUAAACACAAUGAAAUAAGUUCCCCGACUAAUAAGCCGACUUAAUCGAUAAUAACAAUCUCCAGAUUGGGUUCCUUCAAUAAAUAUGGGCUAUAAACACAAUGAAAUAAGUUCCCCAAAAUCUAAAAUGGAGUGGUAUCAAAGGAGAAUUAAAGGAAAAAAUGAAUGUGUGUGUACUAUGUACGCACGUAAGAAGAUAUUCUUCUAUUAUAUAAUAGGUAAUUUAAACGAAGUAAAUAUACUUAAAAGGUUAUUUGUAUUUUAUUUAAAAAUCAAACUAACUUUCUUAUCUACCACUUUCAAAAAAUUUUUAUUAAAACCAAAAAUAAAAAAAAAAAUAUGAAUCACCCGGGAAUUGAACCCGCAACCUUCCAAUCUCAGUGCUAACGCAUUUCUAAUUACUCCAUCGAGGCACUAGAAAUAAAUAUGUAAGUUUCGGAUAUAAUUACACAACACGGCGACAUAUAGUGUAAAAAUGUUAUGCUUACAUAAUAUUUUAUUAAUCCAAAAGCACAAGAAUUAUAAUAAAUAAUACAUUUCCUAAAACCACUAAUAUAUUCUUUUAAUGACUUAUUUGCACGGUUACAGAUACAUACAUACCUAUCUUGAAAGAUUAGUAAUGAACUACAAUACUGUCAGUGUGCGCAGGCGCGCAGUAAAUGUACAAUUUUACCCUCAAUCGAUUCGUCGCUAAAGAAGAAUAUCUUCAAAAAUAUUCAUAUUGAAAUUAUUUAUAAGGCACUGGACUGUCUUAAAUUCUACAAUAAUACUAGAAUCAGCUGAGAGAAGUGGUCUACAAAAAACCAGGAAGGAAACGGAAUAUGUGGCUAUGAAAGGCAAAAGAAAGGUUUACAAAGCAAAUGUGACACAUUUUUUUGAAAUAUUUAGGAAUAUCAGUAAAUUGCAUUAAAAAAAUGUAUGAAAAGAUUUUGUUCAAUAAAAAUGUUUAUAUUUA